UCGAGUGCAUGCAGCAGUGAACUUUAGCCAAGUAUGUUAAAUGACUAAAAGUGUUAAUCCUUUGCACGUAUACAAAAGAAUCCUUAAACUACAUCUAACUUUACCGAAGGGUUUACGGCGAUUCGGUAAUGAAUUUGUUCGCUCAGAGUUUAAACAGCAUAAGCAGGCAAAGGAUGAACAGUUAAAAGAAUUUCUUGGAACUUGGAAAAGAUACUUGGAAAAUUUGCAGUUUGAUGUCGACCUUUACAAGUCAAAUCUUAAGAAUAACUAAAUUUUGAUAUUUGUAGAGAACUGAG